ensembl:lncRNA
GGUAGAUAUGUAUAGGGGUAAGGAGACAGGGAUUCUGGAGUGAUGGAGGUAGAUAUGUAUGUUAGGUGACAGAGAUACUGGAGUGAUGGAGGUAGAUAUGUAUAGAGGUAAGGGGACAGGGAUACUGGAGUGAUGGAGGUAGAUAUGUUUAGGGGUAAGGUGACAGGGAUACUGGAGUGAUGGAGGUAGAUAUGUAUAGAGGUAAGGGGACAGGGAUACUGGAGUGAUGGAGGUAGAUAUGUUUAGGGGUAAGGUGACAGGGAUACUGGAGUGAUGGAGGUAGAUAUGUAUAGGGGUAAGGUGACAGGGAUACUGGAGUGAUGGAGGUAGAUAUGUAUAGGGGUAAGGUGACAGGGAUACUGGAGUGAUGGAGGUAGAUAUGUAUAGGGGUAAGGUGACAGGGAUACUGGAGUGAUGGAGGUAGAUAGUGUAUGUAUAGCCGUAAGGUGACAGGGAUACUGGAGUGAUGGAGGUAGAUAUGUAUAGGGGUAAGGUGACAGGGAUACUGGAGUGAUGGAGGUAGAUAUGUAUAGGGGUAAGGUGACAGGGAUACUGGAGUGAUGGAGGUAGAUAUGUAUAGGGGUAAGGUGACAGGGAUACUGGAGUGAUGGAGGUAGAUAUGUAUAGCCGUAAGGUGACAGGGAUACUGGAGUGAUGGAGGUAGAUAUGAAUAGAGGUAAGGUGACUAGGCAACAAGAUAUAACAAACUGAGUAGCAGCAGCUUGUAUGUAAUAACAGCAGCUUGUAUGUAGAUGGAGUGAGUGAGUGUUAGAGUGACAGUGUUUGUGUGUUGGAGUGACAGUGUGUUAGUGUUGGGG